UACAGAGGUCCCAAGCGUUGUUCGGAUUCACUGGGCGUAAAGGGUGCGUAGGUGGUGAGGUAAGUUUGAUGUGAAAUCUCUGGGCUUAACCCAGAAAUGGCAUUGAAUACUAUCUCGCUAGAGAGUCGGAGGGGGGACUGGAAUACUUGGUGUAGCAGUGAAAUGCGUAGAUAUCAAGUGGAACACCAGUGGCGAAGGCGAGUCCCUGGACGACUUCUGACACUGAGGCACGAAAGCUAGGGGAGCAAACAGG
rnacentral:rRNA from 1 species